UGAUACCAGGGUCAAAAGGUCAUAAAUCCGAUGCAAGCUUGCUUGCAGGAGGAUUUUUGAACUUGGGACCCGCCCAAACAUGAGUAAGAAGCCAUUUUUUUUAAAAAAUGAGCGGAUUACGAAUGUUUUUAGGAUUGCGGGAGUGCAAUGCACGUAGCAAUCCGGUAUCA
rnacentral:sRNA from 1 species